rnacentral:tRNA from 1 species
GCGGGUAUAACUCAGUGGUAGAGUGCGAGCUUCCCAAGCUCGUGGUCGCGGGUUCGAAUCCCGUUGCCCGCU